rnacentral:lncRNA from 1 species
UCAUCCACCAGGUUGCAGAUGAGCGUUCCAAGCACACUGCUGGUAUUGUUUUUCCCCGGUGGUUGGACAUCCACGAUGUGGGACUCGAGGAGCCUCCCUUGGUCAGCAAGCCUUAUGCCAGGUGUCUACAGAACGUCUUGAGCUCAGGAUUCAGUUUUACAGAGAACGAACAGUUCUGACCAGUGCCUUUGUUUUACUGAAGGCCUUUUAGAGGUCCCCGCUGGAGAGGCGAUUUUAUUCGAUAUUCCAGAAGAAAGUAACGGGGAUGAAAAUCGUGGCCAGCGGGGGAAGCCCCCGGCCCCUGCAGGUUGCUCAGAAGCCGGUGGUACGGUGCCGCAUCUGCCCAGCACGCACUUCAGGGUUGUUGAACUUCACUCCCCGAGCAGCCACAGAGGUCGCUUCUGAGCAGCACGAAACGUGGUGGAUUUUUUUUUUUUUUUUUUUUUCUUCCCCCCCAGGGUUUUGGUUCCUUCUUGGCGGGGUUGGCAAGGCCGUUUUAAUUCUUGACUUGGGUUUUCCCCGUUGUUUUUUGUUUGGGUUGUUUUCCCGGGCCGGCGGUUCCUUGUUUUCCCGGGGGGGAUUUCCUUUUUUUCUUGUUGGGGGGGGGGGCGCGGGGGUUGUUUACCCUUUUUAUUGA